rnacentral:ncRNA from 1 species
UGAUAGCGAAGAAGCGAGAGGUUGCCACCAUGAGGUGGGUUUUCCGUGGAGCGAAUGUCAAGAGGUCGGA